AACGCGAAGAACCUUACCCAGACUUGACAUGCAGGAGAAUUUAGCAGAGAUGUUAAAGCCCGUAAGGGCUGCUGCACAGGUGCUGCAUGGCUGUCGUCAGCUCGUGCCGUGAGGUGUUGGGUUAAGUCCCGCAACGAGCGCAACCCUUAUCGUUAGUUGCCAGCAUGUAAUGGUGGGGACUCUAACGAGACUGCCUGGGUUAACCAGGAGGAAGGUGAGGAUGACGUCAAGUCCGCAUGGCCCUUAUGUCUGGGGCCACACACGUGCUACAAUGGCCGGUACAGAAGGCAGCGAAGUCGCGAGAUGGAGCAAAUCCCAAAAGCCGGUCUCAGUUCGGAUUGUAGUCUGCAACUCGACUACAUGAAGCUGGAAUUGCUAGUAAUGGCGUGUCAGCUACAACGCCGUGAAUACGUUCCCGGGCCUUGUACACACCGCAUAC
rnacentral:rRNA from 1 species